GAUGAACGCUGGCGGCGUGCCUAAUACAUGCAAGUCGAGCGAACGGACGAGAAGCUUGCUUUUCUGAUGUUAGCGGCGGACGGGUGAGUAACACGUGGAUAACCUACCUAUAAGACUGGGAUAACUUCGGGAAACCGGAGCUAAUACCGGAUAAUAUUUUGAACCGCAUGGUUCAAAAGUGAAAGACGGUCUUGGUGUCACUUAUAGAUGGAUCCGGGCUGCAUUAGCUAGUUGGUAAGGUAACGGCUUACCAAGGCAACUAUGCAUAGCCGACCUGAGAGGGGGAUCGGCGACACUGGAACUGAGACACGGUCCAGACUCCUACGGGAGGCAGCAGUAGGGAAUCUUCCGCAAUGGGCGAAAGCCUGACGGAGCAACGCCGCGUGAGUGAUGAAGGUCUUCGGAUCGUAAAACUCUGUUAUUAGGGAAGAACAUAUGUGUAAGUAACUGUGCACAUCUUGACGGUACCUAAUCAGAAAGCAACGGCUAACUACGUG
rnacentral:rRNA from 1 species